AAGGAGGAAAUAGCCAGUAAGUAAAGAGGAAAGAAAAAAUGUCUCCCCGUGGUUCAAAAGCCAACUAAAGUUUACCAAGAGCUGUGACCUGUGGUUAAAAUGUCCUCAGAGGCCAGCUCUCAUCUGAUUCCAACCUGAAGCCCCAUUUCCUAUCAAGAGAGCCAUUUGGCUCCUCUGUUAAGCUCAGCAGCCCUGAGGUGUGGUAGCCUCACGCUGACCCAUACAGAACUCAACAGAACUGUCCCUGCUGCAGAAGUCUCAGGGUUCUGCCCCAACUGCAUAGACUUCUUUCAUGGAACCGGCUCCUCUAUCCCCACAAGGCUUCUCCCCAACACAGCUUCUACCUAGAAUCAGACGGAGAGCUUUAGACCAGAGAGAAACUGAGGCGUGGUGAUACUAAGUGACAUGCUCCAAGCCACUGAACAUGUUAGUGGCAGAGCUAGAACUCAACACCAAGUCUCCUGGCUUUAGUCCACUGUGAUUCUCAAUCCUCCCACAUGCAGAGCACAGACUAUUUUUGGCACAUGAGGCUUACCCUGGGAACUGCUCUCCCUCUGUGACUUGGCGCAGGGGGUUCAGGGGAAAGGGUAGGGAGGAUGUGAGGGGUGGGAAGCAGUGCUCUCUCUGCCUGUUUCAGGAAGGCUUUCUGGUUUGGUGAGAGCCCACACUUUGUUAAGUGAGAUAAGGGACACUACAAGAAAAGGAGGGGGUGGGUGGGCAGAGGACAUCACGCCGCUUAUUUUGAACCUGGGAAAACUGUGGCUUAGGAGAGGGAAGUCCUGCAUAUU
rnacentral:lncRNA from 1 species